GGUUGACUACUUUUCGUCUGCAGACUCCGGUAUCCAGCCUGAAGGGAGGCUGUGACUAAAGCUGAGAGCAAUGAAGAGGCUUCAAUUCUUUUUGAAACAGUAGAUUUUUUGGGAAUUUCCUCACUAAAGUUGUUUUCCAAACCUGCACUGGAGAAACAUUGAGGAACAUUUUAGCUUCUGCUUUUCCUGGAGACGCCUCAGGAACACAAACGGGUCGGUUCAGGAGGGGCGUCAGACCUGAAACUUACAGAUUUCCAAGUAUUUCACUGUGAGACCAGGUGGAAAAUGAACACCGCACGCCGCCCGCAUCUGUGCUGUCACGCCAUCAGAACUCAAAAAGGAGAGUUCUUAAGAACGUUUUACAACUCAAAUACAUUUAAUCAGUUAUUAAUGUUGAGAGAAUCUUUAAGGUUUGAAAGAAUUCUGCCAAAAAUAUUGUUUAUUGUGUAACUUAAUUUGUCUGUAAAUGUUAUAAAAUUAGGAAAACAGUUUAAUUCUGCUGGAAAUAAAUGAAUAAAACUACUACUUUUAGCUACUUUUAAAUCAAAGUUGUUAAAAUGAAGUUCUUUUUCUUGGGAAAGUUGGCAUUUGUUCAACAUUUUCUUUUUUUUUUUCCAAGAUCAGCCCAAAGUGAACACAGGUAGGAAAACAAAGGCCGCCGGAGCAGGGCGCUCUCUUCCCGCUCGGCGCUCACACACCUGUUUUGAUAGUUAAUGGACAGUAUGUGGAGGCUAAGCCCACUGUAUUUUAGUAACCUCUGCCUGACCCCCCCACCACCAGUCCUCUGGGGAAGGGGGAGAGGGGUCAAUGAGGGUCUGUGUGGAGCUUUUAGCUGCUUAAUGAAAGUUUGGCCUCAGAGGAACCGUUUUAUUGUUUAAAGAUAAAAUGUUUGUGUGCUUUUAUUUUGAAAAGCAAGCUCAAACUGGAUGAUAAACGAAAAAAUUCAGCUUAUAUUGUGCUUAAUUGUACCUAAAGAUAUUAUAAUCCAACAUAACGAUCACUAAUAAACGUUUUUACAUCUUUACGUCUUGUUUUUUGUCAAAAGUAAGAGCACCAAAACCCAAAGACGGUUUGUUUUUAUUGUUUUUCUGUCUUUUUCGGUGAAUGAAUUUUGUUUUCAUUUUGAAUUCUGAGCCACAAGAGGAUUUCAUAUCAAAAAUUGAGUUUAAAGUCAUAAAAAGAAUCAGAUUCACAUUCAUAAAGUGAGCAGAACCCUCCAGAACCGACAUUUUCAGCUGCGUUUGGGUCAUUGCUCUCCUGCAGAACCAAAGAACUGCUCUGCUUCAGCUCAGUGACAUUCCCCACACCAUGACACUUCCACCACCAUGUUUGACUGUUACUCUGAGGAUUUUACUGUGAAAAGCAGCUUUCAAACACUAACUUAAUCAAAAUUAUGAGUGUCUAAGUGAGUCUAAGUGUUUUUAAUUACUAGUCUUGUUCACUAACAUCAGUAGUUUGCAUUUAACUUAUGUCUUUAUUUCUUACAAGAAAAAAAAUGGAAAAAAAAUUGUUUUCAUCUUUCAACUGAAAUGUCCUUUUCCAUUUUCACCCACCAUAAAAAAAAGAUUUAUUUCCUUUUUCUGUUUAGGAUUUUUCUGCUCAGAAAGUAAAAAGUAAAAAGUUGUCUUUCAAAGCAUGAAAUAAUAGAAAAAGUUCAUCCGUGAUCCUGAAGCUGCUGUUUUUACAGGAGAAAGUAAUCUAUUUCAGAGGAUUACUUUCAGAACACGGAAACGGAAAACGUCACUUAAAAAACGAGAAAAAA